AUGAAGUUGGUAACAAAAAUGAUUUUGAAUUCAGCCGCAGGAAGGCCACAGUACUCCCCUCCCAGCGACGUACUACGUUGCGAAUCUAACUUUCUUCCUUGGACCAGAAUAUGUUCUGAGUUGUUUUCCAAGUAAGGUUGACUGAGGUGAAUUGGAAGAAGAAGGAGAAGGAGACGUCAUGAUAAUCACAUCAUCGCUGGUUUCUUUCGGUAGGAAGGCUGGUUUAAGACGUUCUGUGGUGAUAUUGACAAUUUUUCCUGCAACAUCGAUUGCAAAUAGAUUAUCAUUAAUUCUAUUAACAAUACGAAAAGGGCCAGAAUAAGGAGGUUGAAGAGAUUUUCUAACUGCAUCUUCACGAAGCCAAACGGUCAGAUGGAAGAUCCUCUCCAAUGAAAAAUUCUCCAGGAAUUCUUAAUGCAGAUCCAUAAAGCAUUUCCGCAGGAGAUGCAUUCAAAUUUUCUUUAAAGCAAGAUGCCAUUGGAAGCCGGAUGAUAAGCUGAGGUUCUAAUUCGCUCGCAACCAAUUAGGUUGGUAAGAGCCUUAAAUAAUGCAGCUUCAAAUUGAGGACCUUGAUCGGUUGUGAUCGUCUGAGGAGUACCAUACCUCGCAAAAGAAGAGUACCAAUCAAAUCUAGAUGAAUGUGCUGAAAACGUUGAUCCGGAAUAACAAUCUUUUGAGGAAGAUUCUUGUUUACAGGUAGAACGAUCACUUGGAUGAGAUAAACCAUGAACAAAAUCAAAAAUUUUUCUGCGAAGCUGUUGAGGUACAUAAAAACGAAUAUUAACGGUAGAGCAGUCACAGAAAAUAAGCGUAGUCGAGCUAAGAAACUAUGAUAGGCAUCGAAACAGAUUCAAUUCUAGAGAGGGAAUCUGCAACUACAUUUUGUUUACCAGAUAUAUGCUCGAUGUUUGUUGAAAAUUGAGCAAUGAAAUCAAGAUGUCGGAUCUGUCUGGGCAAAGCUUUAUCUAAUUUUUGUUGAAAAGCAUAAAUUAAAGGUUUAUGAUCUGUCCGAAUAAGAAUCUGACGUCCUUCUAGUAUGUACCUGAAAUGUUUGAUGGCUAAAUAAAUACCAAAAAGUUCACGAUCGUAAGUACUAUAAUUACGUUGAGUGUCAUCCAAUUUCUUUGAGAAAAAUGCAAUUGGUUUAUUAAUCCCAUCGAUUAUUUGUUCUACUAGCACGCAGCGCGCGCUACGCGCGCGCCAU